UNUGACUUGAGUGCAGAAGGGGAGAGUGGAAUUCCAUGUGUAGCGGUGAAAUGCGUAGAUAUAUGGAGGAACACCAGUGGCGAAAGCGGCUCUCUGNUCUGUCACUGACGCUGAGGCUCGAAAGCGUGGGUAGCGAACAGGAUUAGAUACCCUGGUAGUCCACGCCGUAAACGAUGAGUGCUAGGUGUUAGGCCCUUUCCGGGGCUUAGUGCCGGAGCUAACGCAAUAAGCACUCCGCCUGGGGAGUACGACCGCAAGGUUGAAACUCAAAGGAAUUGACGGGGGCCCGCACAAGCGGUAGAGCAUGUGGUUUAAUUCGAAGCAACGCGAAGAACCUUACCAGGUCUUGACAUCCCGAUGCUAUUCUUAGAGAUAGGAAGUUACUUUGGUACAUCGGAGACAGGUGGUGCAUGGUUGUCGUCAGCUCGUGCCGUGAGAUGUUGGGUUAAGUCCCGCAACGAGCGCAACCCUUAUUGUUAGUUGCCAUCAUUAAGUUGGGCACUCUAGCGAGACUGCCGGUAAUAAACCGGAGGGAGGUGGGGAUGACGUCAAAUCAUCAUGCCCCUUAUGACCUGGGCUACACACGUGCUACAAUGGUCGGUACAACGAGUUGCGAGCCGGUGACGGCAAGCUAAUCUCUGAAAGCCGAUCUCAGUUCGGAUUGGAGGCUGCAACUCGCCUCCAUGAAGUCGGAAUCGCUAGUAAUCGCGGAUCAGCACGCCGCGGUGAAUACGUUCCCGGGCCUUGUACACACCGCCCGUCACACCACGAGAGUUUGUAACACCCGAAGUCGGUGAGGUAACCUUUUAGGGGCCAGCCGCCUAAG
rnacentral:rRNA from 1 species